GCUCGAGCAAAUCGAUGAGCAACGGGUUGACUGUGACAGAGAAAAUUAGCAUGGCCCCUGCACAAGGAUGACAUGCAAAUUUACUACUAUAAAUAAAUAAAU
rnacentral:snRNA from 1 species